GUUCUCACUUUGGCAGCACAUGUGCUAAAAUUGGAAUGGUACAGAGAUUGGCAUGGCCCCUGCAAGGGGACAAAACAUAGAUUUGUGAAGCCUUCUGAAUGUUU
ensembl:snRNA U6 U6 spliceosomal RNA